UCUGAACGCUGGCGGCGUGGCUAAGACAUGCAAGUCGAACGGUGUAGCAAUACACAGUGGCGGACGGGUGAGUAAUGAAUCGCUAAUGUACCCUUAGGCCAGGGAUAGCCAUCUGAAAGGAUGGGUAAUACCUGAUGUUUUAACUCUUGGGCAUCCUUGAGUUCACAAAGCAGCAAUGCACCUUUGGAGCAGGCGAUUUCGUAUCAGGUUAGUUGGUGAGGUAACGGCUCACCAAGCCGACGACGCGUAGCCGGGCUGAGAGGUUGGCCGGCCACAUUGGGACUGAGACACUGCCCAGACUCCUACGGGGGGCUGCAGUAACGAAUCUUCCGCAAUGCACGAAAGUGUAGACGGAGCGACGCCGCGUGUAGGACGAAGCCC
rnacentral:rRNA from 1 species